GAUGAACGCUGGCGGCGUGCCUAAUACAUGCAAGUCGAACGAACAGACGCUGCGCUUGCUCCGCUGACGUUUGCGGCGGACGGGUGUAUCACACGUGUAUCACCUACCUAUCAUACUGAGAUCACCACGGGAAACCGGCGCUAAUACCGUAUAAUAUCUUGAUCCGCAUGGUUCAAUAGUAAAAUACGGCUUUUCUGUCUCUUAUCGAUGCUUCUGCGCCGCAUUAGCUAGUUGGUACGGUAACGGCUUAUUAAGGCGACGAUGCGUAAACGACGUGUGAGGGGGAUCGGCGACACGGGAGCUGAGACACGGACCAGACGCCUGCGGGAGGCACCAGUAGGGAACCGGACGCAAUGGGCGGAAACAUGGCGGAGCAACGCCAAGUGAGUGAUGAAGAUCUUCGGAGCGUAAUACUGGGCUACGAGUUAAGAACAAAUGUGUAAUGAAAUAUGCAGGGCGUGACGGUACCUAAUAAGGAAGCCACGGCUAACUACGUG
rnacentral:rRNA from 1 species